rnacentral:piRNA from 1 species
UGACAGCUGGGUUUCCCAGGAUGGGAGA